rnacentral:rRNA from 1 species
UACGUAGGGGCAAGCGUUGUCCGGAAUCAUUGGGCGUAAAGAGCGUGUAGGCGGCCCGAUAAGUCCGCCGUGAAAGUCCAGGGCUCAACCCUGGAAUGCCGGUGGAAACUGUCGGGCUGGAGUCCGGAAGAGGCGAGUGGAAUUCCUGGUGUAGCGGUGAAAUGCGCAGAUAUCAGGAGGAACACCAAUGGCGAAGGCAGCUCGCUGGGACGGUACUGAC